rnacentral:rRNA from 1 species
AUUGAACGCUGGCGGCAUGCUUUACACAUGCAAGUCGAACGGCAGCGCGGGGCAACCUGGCGGCGAGUGGCGAACGGGUGCGUAAUAUAUCGGAACGUACCCAGAAGUGGGGGAUAACGUAGCGAAAGUUACGCUAAUACCGCAUACGAUCUACGGAUGAAAGUAGGGGACCGCAAGGCCUUAUGCUUUUGGAGCGGCCGAUAUCUGAUUAGCUAGUUGGUGAGGUAAAGGCUCACCAAGGCGACGAUCAGUAGCUGGUCUGAGAGGACGACCAGCCACACUGGAACUGAGACACGGUCCAGACUCCUACGGGAGGCAGCAGUGGGGAAUUUUGGACAAUGGGCGCAAGCCUGAUCCAGCAAUGCCGCGUGAGUGAAGAAGGCCUUCGGGUUGUAAAGCUCUUUUGUCAGGGAAGAAACGGUAGAGGCUAAUAUCCUUUGCUAAUGACGGUACCUGAAGAAUAAGCACCGGCUAACUACGUG